UGGGGAAUAUUGGACAAUGGGGGGAACCCUGAUCCAACCAUGCCGCGUGUGUGAAGAAGGCCUUAUGGUUGUAAAGCACUUUAAGCGAGGAGGAGGGUACUGGUAUUAAUACUACCAGGUACUGGACGUUACUCGCAGAAUAAGCACCGGCUAACUCUGUGCCAGCAGCCGCGGUAAUACAGAGGGUGCGAGCGUUAAUCGGAUUUACUGGGCGUAAAGCGUGCGUAGGCGGCUAAUUGAGUCGGAUGUGAAAUCCCCGAGCUUAACUUGGGAAUUGCAUUCGAUACUGGUUAGCUAGAGUGUGGGAGAGGAUGGUAGAAUUCCAGGUGUAGCGGUGAAAUGCGUAGAGAUCUGGAGGAAUACCCAUGGCGAAGGCAGCCAUCUGGCCUCACACUGACGCUGAGGUACGAAAGCAUGGGGAGCAAACAGG
rnacentral:rRNA from 1 species